CUAUGCGCCUUGCCAGCCGCUCAGGUGUGCCAGCCGCCGCGGUAAUACGUAGGUGGCACGCGUUGUCCGGAUUUAUUGGGCGUAAAGCGAGUGCAGGCGGUUCAAUAAGUCUGAUGUGAAAGCCUUCGGCUCAACCGGAGAAUUGCAUCAGAAACUGUUGAACUUGAGUGCAGAAGAGGAGAGUGGAACUCCAUGUGUAGCGGUGGAAUGCGUAGAUAUAUGGAAGAACACCAGUGGCGAAGGCGGCUCUCUGGUCUGCAACUGACGCUGAGGCUCGAAAGCAUGGGUAGUGAACAGG
rnacentral:rRNA from 1 species